GGAAAACUGGACAGCUACAUGUAAAAGAAUGAAAUUAGAACACUCUCUAACACCAUACACAAAAUUAAAUUCAAAAUGGAUUAAAGACCUAAAUGUAAAACCAGAUACUAUAAAACUCUUAGAGGAAAACAUAGGCCAGACAUUCUCUGACGUAAACCACAGCAAUAUUUUCUCAGAUCCACCUAGAGUAAUGACAAUGGGAUAGAUUGGGAGCUUGGGGUUAAUAGAUGCAGACUAUUGCCUUUGAAAUGAUUGGCAAUGAGACCCUUCUAUGUAGCACUGGGAACUAUGUCUAGUCACUUAUGUUGGAGCAUGAUAAUGUGAGAAAAAAUAAUGUAUGCAUGCAUGUGUAACUGGGUCACCAUGCUGUACAGUAGAAAAAAAAAUGAUGUAUUGGGGAAAUAAAAAAAUAAAAAUAAAAUAAAAAAACAAAAAUAAACAAAAGGGGCAUAAUUAAAAGUUUUUGCAUAAAAAAGGAAAGCAUAAACAAAACAAAAAGACAACCCACAGAAUGAGAGAAAAUAUUUGCAAAUGAAGCAACUGGCAAGGGAUUAAUCACCAAAAUAUAUAAACAUAUCCUGCAGCUCAGUAUAAAAAACAAAAACGAAAAAAUAUAUAAACAGCCCCAUCAAAAAAUGGGCAGAAAAUCUAAACAGACAUUUCUCCAAAGAAGGCAUACAAAUGGCCAAAAAACACAUAAAAAGAGUCUCAACAUCACUAAUUAUUUGAGAAAUGCCAAUCAAAACUACUGCAAAGUACCACCUAACACCAGCCAGAAUGACCAUCAUCAAAAAGUCUACAAACAAUAAAUACUAGAGAGGGUGUGGAGGAAAGGGAACCCUCUUACACUGUUGGUGGGAAUGUAAAUCAGUGCAACCACUAUGGAAAACAGUAUGGAGAUUCCUUGGAAUACUAAAAAUAGAAUUACCGUAUGAUCCUGUAAUCUAACUCCUGGGCAUCUAUCUAGAAAAAAGCAUAACUGAAAAAUAUACAUGUACCCCAGUGUUCAUUGUAGUACUAUAUAUACAAUAGCCAAGACAUGUGCACAACCUAAAUGUUCAUCAACAGAGGAGUGGAUAAAGAUGUGAUGCAUAUAGAUAAUGGAAUAUUACUCAGCCUUAAAAAAGAAUGAAAUGUCAUUUGCAGCAACAUGGAUGGACCUAGAAAUUAUCAUGCUAAGUAAAGUUAGUCAGACAAUGAGAGACAAAUAUAUGCUAUCAUUUAUAUGUGGAAUCUUUAAAAAGGAUACAAUGAACUUCUUUGCAGAACAGAAAUACACAGGUAUUGAAAAGUUUACAGUUACUAAAAGGGACAGAUUUGGGGGAAGGGAUGGAUUGGGGGUUUGGGAUGGAAUUGUUCUAAAAUUAGAUGGUGAUGAUGGUUGUAUAACUGUAAAUAUGAUAAAAUUCAUUGAAGUUUUGAAAAUGAAGGGAUCAGAGAAUUUUUAUUUUUUUUUAAUGGCUGCACCCAUGGCAUAUGGAAGUUCCUGGGUCAGGAAUUGAAUCUUUGCUGCAGCUGCAACCUAUGCUGAAGCUGCAAAAAUGCUGAUCCAUUAACCCACUGGAAUGGCCUAAGGAUUGAACCCAUACCUCUGCAGAAAUCUGAGCCACUGCAUUCCCAUUGUGGCUCCAUGGGUUAAGAACCCAACUAGUAUCUGAGGAUGUGGGUUCAAUCCCUGGCCUUGCUCACUGGGUUAAAGGAUCCAGCACUGCUGAGAGCUGUGGUGUAUUUCACAUAUGUGGCUUGGAUCUGGCAUGGCUGUGAUGUAGGUUUGCAGGUGCAGCUCGGAUUCAACUCUUAGCCUGGGAACAUCCACAUGCCAUAGGUACAACCAUAAAAAGAAGAAAAAAAUUUUUAAAAAUUCCCCCAGUUUUCUGAACUCUGCAAGGUUAACUCUUUUGGAAAAAACUGUUAACACAUCGGGUUUUGAAAUUUCAAAAAAUAUUUACCUUGGAAGAACAAUUCAGAUACUGUUUUCUCUUCUAAAAAAAUAAGAUAGUUGAUUCAGAAUAAUAGCUUAAAGUCUUUUCCAGUUCUAUAUUUAUCUAAAUCAGAGUUACCUAAAACUUAGAUUUUAAAAUGCUGUGUCGUCCAAAAUACUUUUUUCCCAGUGCAUUUAAAGGUAAGAAGGAUGUAUAAAACAUGUUUUGGAGUUCCCUUCAUGGCACAGCAGGAACAAAUCUGAUUAGGAACCACGAGGUUGCGGGUUUGAUCUCUGGCCUUUCUCAGUGGGUUAAGGAUUCAGCAUUGCCAUGAGCUGUGGUGUAGGUAACCAGAGGUGGCUUGGAACCUACAUUGCUGUGGCUGGGGCCUAGGCCAGUAGCCGUAACUCUGAUUAGACCCCUAGCCUGGGAACUUCCAUAUGCCGCAAGUGUGGUCCUAAAAAGACCAAAAAAUAAAUAAAUAAAUAAAAAUAAAACAUGUCUCACAUGCUGUGUAAGUCUGUGGGAAUGACUUAACUAGUUUAAUUUUUUUCCCUAAAACAUUGUAAAUUGACAAAUCACUUAAAAGUAUCAUUACAAUUAAUUAUAAAAUAAUUUUAAUGAAUUCAGAAGAAGUGAAUGUCUUUGCACAAUAUCCUUGAAAUUGCUGUAGUUUUUGGAAAGCCUGCUCAAAAUAGUUUGAACACAUUUAGCAAAAGAUAGAAAAGAAAUAGGAUUUUACAUUUGAGACCUCUUAACUAUUCCCAGAACAAGAGAUUUUCACAGAGUCAAACAUUUGGAGAUAAUUCUACAAAUAGGACAUUUUAUCUGAUUAAGCUGAUUAACUCUCAGUGAAGCCCACGAAUUGACAAAGUCCUACCCACACACUUUCUUUUGGUGCUUCAUUCUUAAUAUGAGUGAAUAUCCAACAGUUCACCCCAGUAAUUGUCCAGGAAAACCUCCAACACGAAAAACAUACUAAACCUAAAUAAACGGUAUAAUGGGAUCCAGAGGAAACUAACAAUGAAGAGGUAGCCAGACAAUUAAAAUACGAAAGCAAAAAGAAAAGAAACAAGUUAGAGAAAAACAGAGUUGAGAAAAUGAGGAGUACAUUAAAUAAGAAAAUACAACGUCCCCCUAAAAGGAAAAGAAAAUAUAAAAUCCAUUAAGAUGCUAUUUAAAUUUUGAAUAAGUAAAGGCAGAACUUUGAAAUUAAAAAUAUUAUAAAUUGAUUUAAUUUUAUUUAAUUAUAAAUUUAAAUAGGCUGGAAGAGAAAGUUUGGAGAACUAGAAAAUAGAACAAGAAGCAAAGAGAUUAAAAAAAAAAAGGUGGAAUAAACAUGAGAUUCAAGGCUUAACCCAGGAAUCCCACCAUAUUGCAAAUUGGACUUCCAUAAAAGAAUAACAGAAAAAGUAAAAGGAAAAAGAAAUUACCAAAAAAAUUAUUAAACUUCUCUCUGAAGAUAUUUCUUCACAUUGAAAAAGACCACUAACUAUCCAGCAUAAUAAAUGGAAAAUACCCACACCAUGGAAAAUCAUCACAAAAUUUCAGCACAUGAAGGAUAAAGAAAAAUGGUGAGAGCUUCCCAAGGGGAAAAAAUAGGCAUGUUUCACAUCUAAAGGAGUGCAGUGGCAUCAGACCUCUCAACAACUACACUGUAGAAAAAUUCUUCAAAACCAUAAGGUAACCAAUCUCAUUACUUAGAAUUUUAUACCCAGGCAGCCAGUGUGCUGUUAGACUAAAAGAGGCCUCUCUCCAGUCCUCCAAAAGUACUGUUCCUGGACUGAUUCCUAGGAAAUCACUGCAGAAUGUGACUUAUCUAGAUGAUUAAGUAAAGUAUGAGAAGGAAGAUGUAGACAACUGAAAACAAGAGGUUCCAUGCAAAGGGGAUAAAGAAAAGUGUCAGCAUGGCUGCUAUUUAGCAAACUAAAAGGACAACCAGUUCACACUGUUCUCUUAUAAGGAGAACCCUCAGAAAGGAACUCUCUAGGCAUUGUCUCUGUGGCACCUGGGUUCAUUACUGAGGCUUGGGUUUGAUGUCUGGCCUGCCACAGUGGAUUAAUGAUCUGGCAUUGCCACAGCUGUGACAUAUGUCAUAGCUGUGGCUCAGAUUCGAUCCCUGGCCUGGGAAUUUCCAUAUGCUAUGGG
rnacentral:lncRNA from 1 species